rnacentral:rRNA from 1 species
GACGAACGCUGGCGGCGUGCUUAACACAUGCAAGUCGAACGGAAAGGCCCUGCUUUUGUGGGGUGCUCGAGUGCGAACGGGUGAGUAACACGUGAGUAACCUGCCCUUCACUUUGGGAUAACUUCAGGAAACUGGGGCUAAUACCGGAUAGGAGCUCCUGCUGCAUGGUGGGGGUUGGAAAGUUUCGGCGGUUGGGGAUGGACUCGCGGCUUAUCAGCUUGUUGGUGGGGUAGUGGCUUACCAAGGCUUUGACGGGUAGCCGGCCUGAGAGGGUGACCGGCCACAUUGGGACUGAGAUACGGCCCAGACUCCUACGGGAGGCAGCAGUGGGGAAUAUUGCACAAUGGGCGGAAGCCUGAUGCAGCAACGCCGCGUGCGGGAUGACGGCCUUCGGGUUGUAAACCGCUUUCGCCUGUGACGAAGCGUGAGUGACGGUAAUGGGUAAAGAAGCACCGGCUAACUACGUG